UGAGGAACAUGACCUUCGGCGGGGGAUAGCCGGCCCAACGGCCGGGUAAUACCGCGUACGACCACAUGGGGACAUCCCUGAGUGGUGAAAGCAGCAAUGCGCCGAUGGAGUGCCUCGCGGCCUAUCAGCUAGUUGGUGAGGUAACGGCUCACCAAGGCGAUGACGGGUAGCUGGUCUGAGAGGAUGGCCAGCCACAUUGGGACUGAGACACGGCCCAGAUCCUACGGGG
rnacentral:rRNA from 1 species